rfam:Chloroflexi bacterium 13_1_40CM_3_70_6 13_1_40cm_3_scaffold_5099, whole genome shotgun sequence.
GACCCCGUAGCUCAGCGGAUAGAGCAUCGGUCUACGAAACCGAAGGCGAGGGUCCGAUUCCCUCCGGGGUCG